rnacentral:rRNA from 1 species
GCUGGCGGUGCGCCUUAUGCAUGCAAGUCGAGCGAAGCUUUUCAGUAGUUUACUACAGAAAAUGACUGAGCGGCGAACGGGUGAGUAACGCGUGAGCAAUCUACCUUAGUUACAGGGAUAGCCCGAGGAAACUCGGAUUAAUACCUGAUAUUCUUUUUAUCUCGCAUGAGAUUUUAAGGAAAGGUCAGCCGAACUAAGAUGAGCUAGCGUUCUAUCAGCUAGUUGGUGAGGUAAUAGCUCACCAAGGCUACGACGGAUAGCUGGUCUGAGAGGACGAUCAGCCACACUGGGACUGAGACACGGCCCAGACUCCUACGGGAGGCUGCAGCAGGGAAUAUUGCGCAAUGAGCGAAAGCUUGACGCAGCGACACCGCGUGUGGGAUGACGGAUCUAGGUUUGUAAACCACUUUCAGGAGGGAAGAAAAUGACGGUACCUCCACAAGAAGCCCCGGCCAACUACGUGCCAGCAGCCGCGGUAAUACGUAGGGGGCGAGCGUUGUCCGGAUUUAUUGGGCGUAAAGAGCUCGUAGGCGGUUCAACAAGUCGGUCGUGAAAGUUCAGGGCUCAACCCUGAAAUGUCGAUCGAUACUGUUGUGACUAGGAUACGGUAGAGGUGA